rnacentral:misc_RNA from 1 species
CGAGUUUGGUGGUCCGCGCGUCGUGUGCUGAAUUAAUCAAUUUAUUAACUCUUAAAUAGAUUUUUCGACCUCGAUACCUGAUUCAUACAUUAUUUAAAGAAUCGCGAUCGACGAAGAUCGACAAUUACCGUGAAAAUACAAUAAUCAAUCGACUAAUUUCGGGGUAAAAUAUUAGCUCGAAAAAAUAUUUUCGAACGGAAUUGUUACGGCGCAGGGUCACGUGACUACCCACAAGCCCCUGCAGUUAUAAACAAUCGUUCGAAAAGUGACUAUCGCGGUGGGCCAGUAACGUUCUCUGAUCAAAUCCCGCAUUCGACCUAUUCCAAGGACGUAUCAAUUACGGAACCUGCCUCGACGUGCUUGUGCUUCGGGUCUCGUGUUCCCGGCUAACAAUAAGUAAGGUAGCGUGGCAUUUUUAUCAUCUUGUUCCCCAUUCCGAAUUAUUAGGAUUUUGGCCGUGAUGGCUUUGCCUACGCAUCACGAC